rnacentral:rRNA from 1 species
GACGAACGCUGGCGGCGUGCUUAACACAUGCAAGUCGAACGGAAAGGCCCUGCUUGCAGGGUGCUCGAGUGGCGAACGGGUGGGUAACUCGUGGGUGAUCUGUCCUGCACUUCGGGAGAGGCCUGGUAAACUGGGUCUAGUUCAGGAUAGGUGCCAUCUUUAGUGAGAUGGUUGGAAAGUUUUUUCGGUGUAGGCUGAGCUCGCGGCCUAUCCGCUUGUUGGUUGGGUAGUGGCCGACCAAGACGGCGACCGGUAGCCGGCCUGAGAGGGUGGACGGCCACAAUGGGACUGAGAGACGGCCCAGACGCCUACGGGAGGCAGCAGUGGGGAAUAUUGCACAAUGGGCGCAAGCCUGAUGCAGCGACGCCGCGUGGGGGAUGACGGCCUUCGGGUUGAAAACUCCUUUCGCUAGGGACGAAGCUUUUUGUGACGGUACCUAGAGAAGAAGCACCGGCUAACUACGUG